GUAGGUGGCAAGCGUUGUCCGGGAAUUAUUGGGGCGUAAAGCGCGCGCAGGCGGUUCUUUAAGUCUGAUGUGAAAGCCCACGGGCUCAACCGUGGAGGGUCAUUGGAAACUGGAGAACUUGAGUACAGAAGAGGAAAGCGGAAUUCCACGUGUAGCGGUGAAAUGCGUAGAGAUGUGGAGGAACACCAGUGGCGAAGGCGGCUUUCUGGUCUGUAACUGACGCUGAGGCGCGAAAGCGUGGGGAGCAAACAGGAUUAGAUACCCUGGUAGUCCACGCCGUAAACGAUGAGUGCAAAGUGUUAGGGGGUUUCCGCCCCUUAGUGCUGCAGCUAACGCAUUAAGCACUCCGCCUGGGGAGUACGGCCGCAAAGGCUGA
rnacentral:rRNA from 1 species